GGGGCAGCGGAAUGGGUCAGUUUCGGUCUUCCAAACUGAUUACGCGGGUUCGAUUCCCGUCAUCCCCUCCA
rnacentral:tRNA from 1 species